rnacentral:lncRNA from 1 species
GAAAGUACAUGACACUGAUUUUUUUCUUACUCAAAGACAAGUAAAGUUCAAGUUGGAGGGUAUGAUCAGUGCAUUAAUAUGACAUAAGAAAUAUUAAAAUCUGUGCUAUUUAAUCUCUAUUAUUUAGCAUUUGAUGCUUCUUACUUUCUUUUUCAAAAAUUAUUAAUCAUAAGGAAUUAUUCACAAACCAACCAGCAAGAUUUUCAAUGAAUAAAUGCUAUCAGUCUGUCACACAUAUUUCCACGAUCAACAAGUCUAAGACAAAGCCCAAGUUAAAGCCCAAGUUAGCCUGCCUCUAUUGACAAGUUUUCAGCCAACGCAAAUACACGAUC